rnacentral:rRNA from 1 species
GACGAACGCUGCGGCGUGCCUAAUACAUGCAAGUAGAACGCACAGGAUGCACCGUAGUUUACUACACCGUAUUCUGUGAGUUGCGAACGGGUGAGUAACGCGUAGGUAACCUGCCUGGUAGCGGGGGAUAACUAUUGGAAACGAUAGCUAAUACCGCAUAAGAACAUUUACUGCAUGGUAGAUGUUUAAAAGGUGCAAAAGCAUCACUACCAGAUGGACCUGCGUUGUAUUAGCUAGUUGGUGAGGUAACGGCUCACCAAGGCAACGAUACAUAGCCGACCUGAGAGGGUGAUCGGCCACACUGGGACUGAGACACGGCCCAGACUCCUACGGGAGGCAGCAGUAGGGAAUCUUCGGCAAUGGGGGGAACCCUGACCGAGCAACGCCGCGUGAGUGAAGAAGGUUUUCGGAUCGUAAAGCUCUGUUGUUAAGGAAGAACGUGUGUGAGAGUG